rnacentral:rRNA from 1 species
ACGCUCGACACCUACGGGAGUCAGCAGUGGGGAAUAUUGCACAAUGGGGGAAACCCUGAUGCAGCGACGCCGCGUGGAGGAAGAAGGUCUUCGGAUUGUAAACUCCUGUUGUUGGGGAAAAAGAGGAUGGUACCCAACAAGGAAGUGACGGCUAACUACGUGCCAGCAGCCGCGGUAAUCUGAGCGGGCUGGCAAGGC